rnacentral:rRNA from 1 species
CCUACGGGCGGCAGCAGUGAGGAAUAUUGGUCAAUGGGCGCGAGCCUGAACCAGCCAAGUCGCGUGAAGGAUGACUGCCCUACGGGUUGUAAACUUCUUUUAUAAAGGAAUAAAGUGAGGCGCGUGUGCCUUUUUGUAUGUACUUUAUGAAUAAGGAUCGGCUAACCCCGUGCCAGCAGCCGCGGUAAUACGGAGGAUCCGAGCGUUAUCCGGAUUUAUUGGGUUUAAGGGGAGCGUAGAUGGGUUGUUAAGUCAGUUGUGAAUGUUUGCGGCUCACCCGGAAAAUUGCAAUUGAUACUGGCUGUCUUGAGUACAGUUGAGGUAGGAGGAAUUCGUGGUGUAGCGGUGAAAUGCAUAGAUAUCACGAAGAACACCGAUUGCGAAGGCAGCUUACUAAACUGCCACUGACAUUGAUGCUCGAAAGUGUGGGUAUCAAACAGGAUUAGAUACCCUGGUAGUC